rnacentral:rRNA from 1 species
ACACAUGCAAGUCGAACGAGAGAGAAGGAGCUUGCUUCUUCGAUCGAGUGGCGAACGGGUGAGUAACGCGUGAGGAACCUGCCUCAAAGAGGGGGACAACAGUUGGAAACGACUGCUAAUACCGCAUAAGCCCACGGGUCGGCAUCGACCUGAGGGAAAAGGAGUGAUCCGCUUUGAGAUGGCCUCGCGUUCGAUUAGCUAGUUGGUGAGGUAAUGGCCCACCAAGGCGACGAUCGGUAGCCGGACUGAGAGGUUGAACGGCCACAUUGGGACUGAGACACGGCCCAGACUCCUACGGGAGGCAGCAGUGGGGAAUAUUGCACAAUGGGGGAAACCCUGAUGCAGCGACGCCGCGUGGAGGAAGAAGGUCUUCGGAUUGUAAACUCCUGUUGUUGAGGAAGAUAAUGACGGUACUCAACAAGGAAGUGACGGCUAACUACGUGCCAGCAGCCGCGGUAAAACGUAGGUCACAAGCGUUGUCCGGAAUUACUGGGUGUAAAGGGAGCGCAGGCGGGAAGACAAGUUGGAAGUGAAAUCUAUGGGCUCAACCCAUAAACCGCUUUCAAAACUGUUUUUCUUGAGUAGUGCAGAGGUAGGCGGAAUUCCCGGUGUAGCGGUGGAAUGCGUAGAUAUCGGGAGGAACACCAGUGGCGAAGGCGGCCUACUGGGCACCAACUGACGCUGAGGCUCGAAAGUGUGGGUAGCAAACAGGAUUAGAUACCCUGGUAGUCCACACCGUAAACGAUGAUUACUAGGUGUUGGAGGAUUGACCCCUUCAGUGCCGCAGUUAA